rnacentral:rRNA from 1 species
AGAUACAACUUUUGACGGUGGAUCUCUUGGCUCACGCAUCGAUGAAGAACGCAGCCAGCUGCGAUAAGUAGUGUGAAU